rnacentral:rRNA from 1 species
CGGACCUCCGAUCAAGCAAGA